GGUUGAUCCUGCCAGUAGUCAUAUGCUUGUGUUAAAGAUUAAGCCAUGCAUGCCUAAGUUAAGCGAACAAAAGGUGAAACUGCGGACGGCUCCAUAGAUCAGUCAUAGUUCGUUUGGCAACUAGAAAACCGUACAUGGAUAACCCUGUUAAUUGUAGAGCUAAUACAUGCACAAAUGAAACCCGAUUGGGCAACCGAGAGGGUGGCACUUGUCAGAUCAGCCAGGGCUGGUGGGACUCUUUGACUAGGUGCCCUGUUUCUGAGCAGCAACAACCAUUUGCAGAAAACUCUGG
rnacentral:rRNA from 1 species